GCUACAAGAAGUACCUAGCAACCGGAGCUGGGAACUUCCGGGGGACGCAGGAGUCCUCCCAUUGACGGUGGCUUGGUGACGUCAUCACACCGCGACCGCGGUCCCUAGUUCCCCUAACCUCUGAGUGCUUGCAACUGUGACUGUGGCUUCACCGCCUGCUGCUUUUGACCUGCGGCCUCGCAGGUGUCAGGUGACAGCGUAAGGCGCCGGGCGGGUCCGGCUGCAGCAGCCAGGCUUUGAUGCUGAGCUCUGGUAGGAGGAGGCUGUUCUCAGCUCUGCUGCAAGUUCAGAAGAGGCCUUGUCAACCCUCUAGAGAUAUGAGACUGGUACAGUUCCAGACACGCCACCUGGAAGAGCCUCACCUGGGCCUGGAGUCAGGGAUUGGUGGGGGAGUUGUAGACCUAAACACUUUUGACCCCACACUCCCCAAGACAAUGAUGCAGUUCUUGGAGCAGGGAGAGACUACCCUCUCAGUGGCAAAAAGAGCCCUGGAUACCCAGCUGCCAAUCCUCCCUCGGUCGCAGGUGACCUUCCUGGCCCCUGUCACCCGGCCAGACAAGGUGGUGUGUGUGGGCAUGAAUUAUGCAGACCACUGCAAAGAACAGAAUGUGCGGGUGCCCAAGGAGCCCAUCAUCUUCAGCAAGUUCUCCAGUUCUAUUGUGGGGCCCUAUGAUGAGAUCAUCCUCCCACCAGAGAGUGAGGAGGUGGACUGGGAGGUGGAACUGGCCGUGAUCAUUGGAAAGAAAGGCAAGCACAUCAAGGCCACAGAUGCCAUGGCUCACGUGGCUGGCUUCACUGUGGCUCAUGAUGUGAGUGCUCGGGACUGGCAGAUGAGACGCAAUGGAAAGCAGUGGUUACUGGGAAAAACCUUUGAUACUUUCUGCCCCCUGGGCCCUGCCUUGGUUACCAGGGACAGCAUAGCAGAUCCACACAAUUUAAAGAUCUGCUGCCGAGUGAAUGGGGAGGAAGUCCAGAGCAGCAACACCAACCAGAUGGUGUUCAAGACUGAAGACCUGAUAGCCUGGGUUUCCCAGUAAGUGGGUGGAGCCUAUCACGGCCAGUCCCACCAUGGCACACCUGGAAACUCUCAGGCCACGGUCUUACCUGGCCCUCUGCUUCCCCUAGAAGGGUGAUGAAGUCCAGUGUGAGAUUGAAGACAUCGGUGUCAUCAUCAACAAGGUGGUGUGACGGCAUGCCUGUAAGCACUGGACUUUCACUCCCAUAAAGCUCACCGCUGGCCCUGCCCACUUGAGGUGCUCUUAGGUAGACCUUGGAAAUAAACUUUCUCAGAGUUGCA